rnacentral:rRNA from 1 species
UCCUGGCUCAGAUUGAACGCUGGCGGCAUGCCUUACACAUGCAAGUCGAACGGCAGCACGGGGGCAACCCUGGUGGCGAGUGGCGAACGGGUGAGUAAUACAUCGGAACGUGUCCUGUAGUGGGGGAUAGCCCGGCGAAAGCCGGAUUAAUACCGCAUACGCUCUACGGAGGAAAGGGGGGGAUCUUAGGACCUCCCGCUACAGGGGCGGCCGAUGGCAGAUUAGCUAGUUGGUGGGGUAAAGGCCUACCAAGGCGACGAUCUGUAGCUGGUCUGAGAGGACGACCAGCCACACUGGGACUGAGACACGGCCCAGACUCCUACGGGAGGCAGCAGUGGGCGAAUUUUGGACAAUGGGGGAAACCCUGAUCCAGCAAUGCCGCGUGUGUGAAGAAGGCCUUCGGGUUGUAAAGCACUUUUGUCCGGAAAGAAAACCUCUGGGUUAAUACCCCGGGGGGAUGACGGUACCGGAAGACAAUAGCACCGGACAAUUCA